rnacentral:misc_RNA from 1 species
GAUGAAGAACGGAGCGAAAUGCGAUAAGUAGUGUGAAUUGCAGAAUUCAGUGAAUCAUCGAAUCUUUGAACGCACAUUGCGCCCCAUGGUAUUCCGUGGGGCAUGCCUGUUCGAGCGUCAUUUACCCCCUCAAGCUCCGCUUGGUGUUGGGCGUCUGUCCCGCUUCGCGCGCGGACUCGCCCCAAAGGUAUUGGCAGCGGUCGUGCCAGCUUCUCGCGCAGCACAUUGCGCUUCUCGAGGCACCGGUGGGCCCGCGUCCAUCAAGCUCACCCCCCCAGUUUGACCUCGGAUCAGGUAGGGAUACCCGCUGAACUUAAGCAUAUCAAUAAGCGGAGGA